CUACUGCACUAUAUUUAAAAAAAUUAUUUUUAUAAUUUAUAUAUAUUUAUUUUAUUACAAAUGCAAAACAACACCACAGAGGAAAUGACAUAAGCUUAAAUAAUAAACCAUGAUAGGUGAUCUGGGAUUACUGCAUUCUACUUAAUCUUUCAUUCUUGAUUAUUUUGCAAAUUAAUUGGAUGUUCAUUAGAAAUAUAGUUAUGAAAGAGUUAAACUGAUUUUAAUAAUGACAUGCAACCAUUAUGAGUAAUUUGUAGUUAGGCAAAUCAGGUCUUAUUUAAAUAACAUCUGCCUAAUGUUAUAAGUAACAGGUCUUCUGUUACAAGCAACUUCACAUUUCUGACAUUUGUGUUGAAAUUUUAGGCUUUGGAAGCCUCUUACAACUAUCAGUUUUUGUAGAAUUCAUAUACAUCCAUGGAUUGUUAUAGGAUAUGAGGAACUUUGUAUAAAUUAGAAUGAAUAGUAACUUUUUCAAUUUGGUGUAAAGCUAUCAGGCGAGAGUGUCACUGUAUUUCAUUGUUUUAUUGACCAGCUACAUACAGUGUGGCAUGUUUCUCAUAUGAAGACCACAAUUCUUUAACUGGAAGAAUUGUCUAAGAAUAUUAUUAAUGAAUCUAUAUACAAGUAAAAUUCAGAUGGUCAAGAAGCAGUUUGUGUGGGUCUUCUGAUCAGUGGAACCAGUGUUUUAUUAUGGGAAAUCGAAUAAUAAUUUGACAAGUUAGUAUGACUUGAUGAUACACAGCUGAAAAUAUAGAUUGAUUAUUCAGCUAAUAACACUUAUCUAUUUUUUAGUUUUGUUAGGAGUUUAACCUAAUGCAGGUCCAAGUAACUCAGUACCUUCAUUCUACCAGCAAAGGGUCAGUUGGCAUUAGUUUACAAAAGUAGUGUUUGAAGAUAUCUAUAACAAAUUUUUCCAUUGCAUAUUUUUUUUUAUCUAAAGAAAGAAUACUUUGUUGAUAUGGUUAAUAAUGUUGGUAUCACAAUUUUAUCAAGUAGGGUGGGGUGGGGAACUUGUUGAAGAUGCAUAAGGUAAGAUAUAGUGGGUAUUCAAAUGUAAAAAUCAUAUACAGUAAGGAGAAGGAAAAUGUGAUACUGGAAGUUGUGCAUGUUAUCAGAGAAAUAAUUGCUUUCGAAGGGUGUUACUGCUCAAUUGAAUAUUUGCCUCUACUGCUUAAAUAAAUUUUCAGCAUCCUAUUCUUACUGUGAAAUUAUACCUAUGAAAGUAUAAUCUAGUUCUAUUUUGACUAAGUUGUUUGAAGCCAAUGCAGACUAUUGCUGGACUCGUUUUAACUCUAUUCAUUAUCUUUCAAUAAUGUUCAUUUUUUUUUUGUUUUUCUAUAGUGUUAGGGAGUCUGAUGUAGGAAAAAACAGGAUUAGAGAGAGAGGUUGAUCUAGAGAUUUGAGAAUGAUUAGGCAUAGUAGUUAGAGCAGUAGCUGGGGGAAUGAUAGAGUAGUGAUAUAUAGAUAGGCCAUUGUAGAAAAAGUAGAACAUGGGUUAAAGGUUGUUGGAGUUAGCUUUCUGGGUUGUUGAAUCCUUGUCAAUCAGUUGGAUGGCUUUAAUGGAAGUGGAGGAAUAUGUUUUCGUGUAUAACAGUAAAAGUGUUUGAGAUAUGAGAGCAGUAUUCCACUGUAGGAUUCACUUGUGUUUUGAAGUGAGGCAUUGGUUGUUUGAAUCUGAGGAAGAAUGCUUGGCAUGAGGUCACUUUGGAGGAAAGAGAAUUGUUGAUUAUACCUAUUCCUACACCCCAACUUUUGACUCCCACCUACUUUAUCGACUUUGGAAUGAUAACUGGAAAAAAAUUGCUUAAAACAAUAGUAAAAUAAAAACAUUACAAAUUUGACAAAUGGCAAAAAUUAAGUUAGAAAAGCAAUUACUUUUGACAUCUUUAUCAAGGACAAUUAAACUCGUGACAACAGUGCCAACAGCAACAACACAACAAUAGGAAGUUCAACAAAUAGAAGAAAAUAACUUUAUUGGAUGGAGUGGAACUUUUUUUUUUUUUUUUUUUUUUUUUUUUUUUUUUUUGUUCAGUAAUGGUAAUAUUGUCCACAUUAUUCAUUUGUUGUGCAACGAGGUUUGAAGUGGAGUUGGACAUUUUGUAGCUGCAUAAUGUUUGAGGCAUUUUAUUGUUCUUGAUAAGAUGGCAUCACGUAAUUGACACAAGGAUUAAAUUGCAACAUAUCACCAUGGUAAUACUUUAGAUUCAAAUAAAAGAAUUAGAACAAAUCCUGUGCUUCGAUGCUUAUUGGCAAGCAUCUUAAGCAGCUUGAAAACCAGACAUACAGAAGUGAAAGAAAAUUGAAAGCAAGAUUGGAAAUUAAAAGCAAAGGCAUAAGGAAGUUGUAUGAAAUUCUAGGUUUGUGAAUUUUCAUUUGUUACUGCUAGAAUUACACAGUAGUUGGUAUCACAAGUGAAAAAGAAUCUUUAUUUUGCUGGUUUAUAACAGUAGCAGGCAUUUCAGCCUCCUGGUUUUGCUAAUAUGACUGAUUUUGCUAUAUUAACUGACAUUUAAUUGGUGUUGUUUUACUGCGGCUGCAAUUAGCAAUUUUAAUUCUGGGAUUUAAAGGCUGAAAUCAAUGUACCAUACAUUUCAAGAAAUGAUUGAACAUAUAGAAUCCACAUUACGUUUGAAAUUUAGAUGGAAAAUAUCUGUUAAAAUGCAUCAAACAUUUGUAUAUAUAUUUUUGUUUUGGUAAAUGUGUGUGUGUGUGUGUAUAUAUAUAUAUAUAUAUAUAUAUAUAUAUAUAUAUAUAUAUCACACAUCUCUCUCUCUCACAUUCCUAUAUACAAUUGGAUAUGCACAUGUAUGUGCCUAAAUGGAAAUUAUCUUGUGAAAAUAGCACCAACCCGGAUGCAAAUGAUUGACUUAGCCAAGUUGUUCCUACUGCAUAAACAUUAUUAAUUCAUUACUGUACAGAGUGUAAAAGUAAUUAUGAAAUAUUUUAAUAUAUUUUGGUUUUCUAUAUCCUCGAAAAGAAAGAAAAUUUGAAUAAUUUUAUGUGUUGUGAGAUUUUAAUACUUUUUCCCUUUAAACAUUAUUUUCUUUUCACAAAAACACCAUCUCCCCCCUUUUCAAAAAUGCUAUUUCAGCAGAGAGAAUGUUGACUUUGUAGAUCAAUCAUUCGAAACUCAUCAAUUAAUUGCUGAAGUAUUUACUAUUUCAAGACAAAUAAAUCUCUCGUGUCAUCUCUUAUUGCAAUUUUGUGGAAAAGUAUUGAAAAAUUAAUUGAUUGCUUAGAAAUCAUUAAGUUGGCUAUGAAAAUCAUCUCAUUAAGAAAGACUAUACACUCUAAAUGGAGAGUGGAAAGUAAAAUGUUCUGAUUCUGUCCAAACUAAAACCAAAUAUUUUACAACCAACCACCAAAACAAAUAAUUAAGAGUUAUAAAUUAGUAUUUCAUUCAGCUAUUAUUUCCUGGUAGUAAGAAGUUUAGUGCCUUAAAUGAAAACAUUUAGCCCUGAAUCAGGGAGUUUCAAAAUACCAUCAAUAAUGUUUUUAACUAUAGAUGUUAACCAAGACAUAACAUUAACUGGAAAGUAAGAGAAGUAGAAAUCAGUUAAAAAAAAACAGCAACAAAAAACAGAAAUAAACUUUUCAUAUCAAAAACAGCAGAAAGCAAUGGAGUCAUUUCUCAAAGGAGAAAUACAUUCAUGAAGAGUUUAAUGGUAAACUAUAGAAUUCUACUUGUAAUAAGGUUCAAUGUAAUCAAAUAUGUAAAGUGAUGUAAGCAAAAAUAAGUGCCAAAAAAAUAAGGUAAUAUCUUAAAAUUAUGUGAAUCUAAUUUAAAACAAAUAGUGAAAGAGAUUCUUGAUAUGGGAAAAUAGUUUGAGACAUGCCUAAGGAGUUCAAUGUGUUUAUAAUACAGUUAGUAAACAAAGUUUGUAGGAAAUUGACAUAAAUGAAAAGAAAUCUGAUGAUGAUGAGAAAGAAACACAAGUAGAUAUCAAAAGUUAUGAUGCUUUUUGUGAAAAUUCCAGUUACUGCAAUCAUUGAUCUGCAUCUUCAGAAACCUCUCUUCUAAAUGAAGAUAUAGAAUAAUCAGACCUGAGGUUGGCCUUCUCAACAUGUUUUCAGCUGAUUUCCCAUCAGUUACAACAUCAACAAAUAAGUAUUAGAUUCAAAUUUGAUUUAUAUUGAAUUCGUAGAUAUAAUUAAGUACACACAGAUAUGCGGAAAACAAAUAAAAGAGAGGUUAUGUAUCAGGAUAAGGGGAAAGGAGCUGCUCAGUAUCGACCACAAUGUACAAAUAAGUCAAAAAGACUUAUUGUUAGUGGGCACGUAAAUAAUGAAUCUGUAAUCCGUAAAGAUAAUGUAAAAGAGAAACAUUUGACAUCUCAGAUGGAUAGAAUACAUUUAGGAGAUGGUUGUUUCAAAACUAAAGUAAGUCAACAAAACAAUGUUAAAGAAAGCCACACUUCUGAGAAUCAAUUGAAAUCAGAAACUGGUUAUGAUGUGGACAAGGACAACCCUGAAGGAUGUAAAGGAAGAGAAAACACCUACCUUUUCCCUCUUGAAUAUGGCAAUAACUCAAGGAGAAGAUCUGACUGUAGUGAACUAAAGAGAAAAAGAAAAAUUCUUUUAUCCCCAAGACAAGUUUUAUAUUUGAGAAAGAAUUUUCAAGACAAAAGCGCACCAACAUUUUCUCGCUAAUUCCUCAGUGAGGUAGGUCGUCACGAUGGAAUUCGGAUCUUCGGAACGAGAGCAGUUUUAUUCCGCUAUGCAUUCGCAGUGAGGAGGGAAUUGUCAGGAGAGAUUCUUGUCGCCAUGCUUUGUGCUGUUCCCACGCACAUCAUCUUCAAGAAGCACGAGGAUCCUAUGUAUUUUAAUUAACAGAAUUGUUCAUGUAUGCCAGUUGCUGUAUUUUCUUUUAGCGCCGAAAUAAAUGUGGCAGUCAACUUUAA